rnacentral:rRNA from 1 species
UCGGGGGAUCCCAGCAAUGGGGGAACCGGCGUAAGGGGCAGUAAGGCGUGGGUACCUGCCCCGGGGCCCGGGAUAGCCGUCCGAGAGGGCGGGUAAUACCGGAUGACCUCGGGAGAGCAAAGGUUUACCGCCCCGGGAGGGGCCCACGUGGUAUUAGGUGGUUGGCGGGGUAACGGCCCACCAAGCCUGAGAUGCCUAGCGGGUGUGAGAGCACGACCCGCGCCACUGGCACUGAGACACUGGCCAGACACCUACGGGUGGCUGCAGUCGAGGAUCUUCGGCAAUGGGCGCAAGCCUGACCGAGCGAUGCCGCGUGUGCGACGAAGGCCUUCGGGUUGUAAAGCACUGUCGAGGGGGAGAAAACCCUAACCGGUUGAUCUAUCCCUGGAGGAAGCUCGGGCUAAGUUCGUGCCAGCAGCCGCGGUAAGACGAACCGAGCGAAC